AGAAGAUGCGGAAAAAUGUAACCAAAAAAGAAAGAGAAAAAGAAAGAAGAUGAUGAAGAUAAAAAAAGAAGAAGAAAAGGUAGUUCAAAGCUCCAUCUGGUGGUAGAAUAGAACAAAAGAGAAAAGAAGGUAAAGAGAAAACAUUGGAAUUUAUUUGCGAUUGGAAAAGGAACAGUUAACAAAACCCUUUCGCUUUUAAUGUCGGAAAGGGUUUCCAAUCAAAUUCUCCAUUUUUCCAUCAAUAAUAAUCACUAAUUACAGUUAAAUUCUUAUUAAAGUGUUUCUGGUUUUUCUAAACAAAACUUAAUCUAAACUCUUUUCCUCUCAAACUCAUCUCAUCUCAACUGAUAAUCACCAAUAAUUGAAAUUAAUAUUUCUCUCUACAAAUACAACGAACAACAUUAUCAUCAUCAUCAUCUCCAGCUAAAUAACAAACAACAGUUACAAUAACUACAUUUAUAUAAAUUACAUUAACAGCAACAAAUCAUCAAUCAACUGUGUUUUUUAUCAAAAUUAUCAUCUCUCUCUCUCUCAUUUCUCUGAGCUUUUCUAUUCCUUGUUACCUUCAUUUUAACUCUUUGUUUUUCUCUGUCUUUAUUUUUUUCUCUUUCUAUUUUUCUCUUGUUAACUCAUCUCUAUACACUUAUAUUCUCUCUUUCUCUCUCUCUCUCUCUAUCUUACUCUCUCAUUCUCACUCUCUGUAAUUCAUUUUACUUCUCCCCAUUAUCCUCAGCAUCUUCUCCUUUAUUUCUGUCUGUCUUUCUCUCUCUAAUUGUGUCUUCUUCUUUUUUACCAUCUAUACUUUUCUCUCUCUAUCAGGUAAACAAAAGCUUCUUUUCUGUGUAAAAUAUUUCCUUUUAUCUUCUCUCUCUCUCUCUCUCACUAAAUCCAACAAAUUCUUCCAUAAUUAAUAUAACAGCAACAACAACAAUCGACAAUCAGUAACCAAUAUCAUCCAUAGUUAUUUAUCUCUCUCUCUCUCUCCAUAAUACUUACCAAGUGAUUCCUCAUACAACUAAUAUCAGUUUCUACUUUUACAUUUAUUUUCAUUUUAUCUCCUCUUUUUUACCUCACUCACUCACUCACUUUCUCUCUCACCCAGUUAUCUUAUUAUCACCAUUAACAUAAUCAUUGUUGACAACAACAACAUCAUCAUCAUCAGAAUCACAUUUCCUGUGAAAUAUUUUUCUCUGUGUUUUUUUUUAUAAAUAUAAAUCUCUCUAUAUAUUGUUAUGGUGAUUUCUUUUUUUCCCAUCACAUCUUUAAGUAAAAUUCAAUAAUAAUAUCGAGUGAAUGUCUUUUUAUUGUGAUCAUUUUUUUUCUCUUCUUCCUGGAAAAGAACAAAAAUUUUCUUCAAUAUAUUGAUAAUUAGUGACAAUUUUUAUUCUUCUUCUUUGUUUAACCUGUUUUCCAACAAUUGUCUCAAGCGAAAAAACCCCCCAACAUAUUAGACGAAAUGUCCAAUUUUCUUUCUUCUCCAAUGUUAUCAUCUCAUAUUCUAUUGGAAUCUCUAGUUUUUACCAUUGGAAAUAUUCUAACUGGGAGUGAUUAUGAAUACAUCAAUUUCUAAUUUGCAUUCGUCAUUCUUCAAGCCGAGAGAGAGAGGAAAAAAAAGAAUCUCCAUCAUCAUCAUCAUCAUCAUCCAGCAGAAAAGAGGAGCAAAAAGUAAAAAGA